rnacentral:tRNA from 1 species
GGACGAUUAGCUCAGUUGGCUAGAGCACCACAUUGACGUUGUGGGGGUCAGAGGUUCGAGUCCUCUAUCGUCCACCA